rnacentral:rRNA from 1 species
UACGUAGGGCCCGAGCAUUAUCCGGAAUUAUUGGGCGUAAAGAGCGUGUAGGUGUUCCUACAAGUCGGUCGUUAAAUCUCAGAGCUCAACUCUGAGGCCGCGAGCGAAACUGUAGGAAUUGAGGUUUACAGGGGCAAGCAUAAUUUCUGGAGUAGGGGUGAAAUCCGCAGAUAUCAGGAGGAACACCAAUGGCGAAGGCAGCACUCUGGGACGUGACUGACGCUGAGACGCGAAAGCGUGGGGAGCAAACAGG